rnacentral:rRNA from 1 species
UUAGGAAUAUUCGUCAAUGGGGGAAACCCUGAACGAGCAAUGCCGCGUGAACGAUGAAGGCCCUCUGGGUUGUAAAGUUCUGUUGUUUGGAAAGAACGGUAGAUAGAGGAAAUGCUAUCUACGUGACGGUACCAUUCAAGAAAGCCACGGCUAACUACGUGCCAGCAGCCGCGGUAAUACGUAGGUGGCGAGCGUUAUCCGGAUUUAUUGGGCGUAAAGGGUGCGCAGACGGUUUAUUAAGUCUAAAAUCAAAUCUUGGGGCUUAACCCCAUUCCGUUUUAGAAACUGGUAGACUUGAGUAUGGUAGAGGCAAAUGGAAUUCCUAGUGUAGCGGUGGAAUGCGUAGAUAUUAGGAGGAACACCAGUGGCGAAGGCGAUUUGCUGGGCCAUUACUGACGUUCAGGCACGAAAGCGUGGGGAGCAAAUA